rnacentral:lncRNA from 1 species
AACCCCGCUUUUCUUGUUUCCUCCUCUCUAACUUCGCUCUUCCUUGGUUUUGUCCGCUCUAUACACACAGCUUUCCUUGGUUUUGUCCUACGCUCUAACCGCUUUUUUUCUUGCUUUUCCUCCACUGUAAAAACCGCUUUUCUUGUUUUCCUCGCUCUAACUUCGCUUUUCCUAGGUUUUCCUCCGCUCUAACCCCGCUUUUCUUGGUUUUCCUCCGCUCUAACUGCGCUUUUCCUUGGUUUCCUCCGCUCUAAGCUUCGCUUUCUUGUUUUUUCCCCUUUGCUCUAAUCACCGUUUCCCUUGUUUUCCACGCUCUAACACCACUUUUCUUGGUUUC